rnacentral:lncRNA from 1 species
ACUGUGCGUACACCGUUCGCACAGUUGGCCUACAUGGACAGUCUCUGUGCAGUAGGCUUGUGUUUGCAGUGCCCAAUGCGCCUAGGCUCUGCGCGCGCGACAACGAGCCUGUGCGCCUGCAGGCUAGCUUGUUGCUCACCGGCUGGUCACUACUACCUAGGGCAAUGCGUCGCCACCAGUGGAGGAAAUCUUUCUCCCUAGUUUUUUAUGCCAGGAA